rnacentral:rRNA from 1 species
UACAGAGGUCUCAAGCGUUGUUCGGAUUCAUUGGGCGUAAAGGGUGCGUAGGUGGCUCCGUAAGUCGGGUGUGAAAUCCUGAGGCUUAACCUCAGAACUGCAUUCGAUACUGCGGUGCUUGAGGACUGGAGAGGAGACUGGAAUUCAUGGUGUAGCAGUGAAAUGCGUAGAGAUCAUGAGGAAGACCAGUGGCGAAGGCGGGUCUCUGGACAGUUCCUGACACUGAGGCACGAAGGCCAGGGGAGCAAACGGG